UUUUAAUUGAUUAUAAUGCAACUUAUUUCAUCCUUAUCAAAAGUAGUUUUUAAUUAACUGCAGCCAGAAUACCUGAUUGAUUCAUUGCUAGAUUUACAUUUCCUUGACCAAUCAAUCCCAGUUUUACUGGAGAAUAGCAGCUUAAUGGCCCGCAAAGGUUCUACUCAUCUCAGCGAAGAGCCGGGUCCUGAUGAAAGCUGUCUGCCAGAAAAAGCCACUGAAAUUAAUAUCCAGGCUGUUCUGGAAAAGACAUCAAAAGCUAUACGAGAUAUUGAAUUAUUGCUUUCCUCCAGAAAGUAAUAACUAUGGAAUGUAAAUAAGUUGGUGCAGGUCUCGCGGCUAUGAAGAAAUUCAUACUGUGUACUGAACACCCUUUAUAGACAUAAAUUGUUUUUAUGAUAGAAG